AGUGAACGCUGGCGGUAGGCCUAACACAUGCAAGUCGAACGGCAGCACAGUAAGAGCUUGCUCUUACGGGUGGCGAGUGGCGGACGGGUGAGGAAUACAUCGGAAUCUACUUUUUCGUGGGGGAUAACGUAGGGAAACUUACGCUAAUACCGCAUACGACCUACGGGUGAAAGCAGAGGAUCUUCGGACCUUGCGCGAUUGAAUGAGACGAUGUCGGAUUAGCUAGUUGGCGGGGUAAAGGCCCACCAAGGCGACGAUCCGUAGCUGGUCUGAGAGGAUGAUCAGCCACACUGGAACUGAGACACGGUCCAGACUCCUACGGGAGGCAGCAGUGGGGAAUAUUGGACAAAGGGCGCAAGCCUGAUCCAGCCAUGCCGCGUGAGUGAAGAAGGCCUUCGGGUUGUAAAGCCCUUUUGUUGGGAAAGAAAAGCAGCAGGUUAAUCCCCCGCUGUUCUGACGGUACCCAAAGAGUAAGCACCGGCUAACUUCGUG
rnacentral:rRNA from 1 species